rnacentral:tRNA from 1 species
GCGGCCAUAGCUCAGUUGGUAGAGCACCGGAUUGUGAUUCCGGUUGUCGCGGGUUCAAGCCCCGUUGGUCGCCCCA